UACGUAGGGACCGAGCGUUGUCCGGAUUCAUUGGGCGUAAAGAGCUCGUAGGCGGCUGUUCAAGUCGAACGUGAAAACUCGGAGCUCAACUCCGAGCCUGCGUUCGAUACUGGACGGCUAGAGUCUGGUAGGGGGAUCUGGAAUUCCUGGUGUAGCGGUGGAAUGCGCAGAUAUCAGGAAGAACACCCGUGGCUAAGGCGGCUCUCUAGUACGGUACUGACGCUGAGACGCGAAAGCGUGGGGAGCGAACAGG
rnacentral:rRNA from 1 species